rnacentral:rRNA from 1 species
UACGAAGGGAGCUAGCGUUGUUCGGAAUCACUGGGCGUAAAGCGCACGUAGGCGGAUGUGUCAGUCAGGGGUGAAAUCCCGGAGCUCAACUUCGGAACUGCCUUUGAUACAGCACGUCUUGAGUCCGAUAGAGGUGGGUGGAAUUCCUAGUGUAGAGGUGAAAUUCGUAGAUAUUAGGAAGAACACCGGUGGCGAAGGCGGCCCACUGGAUCGGUACUGACGCUGAGGCGCGAAAGCCAGGGGAGCAAACGGG